UUCUUAGCUCAUAACUCCUUGCAGUCCACCUCUUUGACAUUUCUUCUGCAUCAUUAACAGGACCUCCCAUCCUACUAACAACAAGGUCAGCGAUUUUCUCAACUAAAAAACUUGUAACCGGGACCUUCUUUAAAGCUCGGCAUUCCCGGGACAUGAAGUACACUCUCUCCUCAAGCUGCCGCAGUUCCAUAUCAGCUGCUCGGUUUACCAAGAUAACUUCAUAAUCAACAUUAUCCAAAACCGAAACAGCUUUUAGAUCCACUAACAAUGGCAUCUUCCCGUGAAUCGCCGCACUGGAAUUAAUUCCAUAAACAUCAUAGAAUCCAUCCAUCACUUUCUCAUCAUAAUUUACAACAUUAUAGUUCUGCAUUGACACCAGGUAGAAGGUUUAGAACCAAUUCAAACUUCAGAUGAAAACCUUAAGCAAGGAAUACAGGUAACAAAGCACUAAAUAGAGACAACGUGAAGUCUGCAGUCUGCUAAAAGUUAAACGUGAACAGCAUGUUAUCUUGAUAUUGUUUUCAGCAAUGAAUAGGGGGUACAAUAUUGCUAAUCAUUUUAAGGAUCUAAGUGUGUCUCUCUCCGAAAGUAAACUCUACUUCAAACACAAGGACAUAAUCAAGUGCAGACUACCUUUUGUGAGAAUAUGCAGGACACAGCAUGCAAAUUUGCAAUGAUAGGUGAAAAUAUAUUUCUCUGGUACUACAAUCCUAAGCAUAACUCAAACCAGUGAAGUAACUGUUUACACACAACUAGGGUAACGUAUAUAAUUACUUGUAUAGUACUGCCUUUGUCAAUGUUGGAUGUUCUAAACCAAUAGGAGUUAGGAACAAGGUAAAGACUACAUCUUUAAGUGCACUUGGGUCCAAUAGUGAUGACGUUUACUUUCUUGGAGUAUUUUAAUCCAUAAUAAUGUCAACAUUAGUCCAAACCUACCUUCAUUAACACAAAAGAACAUUUUAUAGCAUAGAACAUGAUAAAACUUUCCAUAUAAGAAAGUGAAGAAACAUAUUUGCUAUGGGGUGUUUCAAGUGGGAAGAGAAAUUUUCACCUCAUAAACUGGAGGAAGACUGUCAUGGCAUCAAAAUGUCAGGGAAGACUUAGGAUAAAGAUAUAAAGAUCCUUAACAAGCACUAUCAGUGGUUAUAGAAAUUUGGAGUAAAAGAGAAUACUUUUUAGAGGGAAGUGAUUGAGGAGAAAUAUAGANUCCCAUCCUACUAACAACAAGGUCAGCGAUUUUCUCAACUAAAAAACUUGUAACCGGGACCUUCUUUAAAGCUCGGCAUUCCCGGGACAUGAAGUACACUCUCUCCUCAAGCUGCCGCAGUUCCAUAUCAGCUGCUCGGUUUACCAAGAUAACUUCAUAAUCAACAUUAUCCAAAACCGAAACAGCUUUUAGAUCCACUAACA
rnacentral:lncRNA from 1 species